rnacentral:rRNA from 1 species
AUUGAACGCUGGCGGCAGGCCUAACACAUGCAAGUCGAGCGAGCGGCGGACGGGUGAGUAAUGUAUGGGGACUGCCCGAUAGAGGGGGAUAACUAUUGGAAACGGUGGCUAAUACCGCAUACUAUCGGAUAACCCAUAUGGGAUUAGCUAGUAGGUGGGGUAAAGGCUCACCUAGGCGACGAUCUCUAGGUGGUCUGAGAGGAUGAUCAGCCACACGUGGACUGAGACACGGCCCAGACUCCUACGGCGGCAGCCGUGGGGAAUAUUGCACUAUUGGCGCAAGUCUGAUGCAGCCACGCCGCGUGUAUGAAGAAGGCCUUAGGGUUGUAAAGUACUUUCAGCGGUGAGGCGUUACCCGCAGAAGAAGCACCGGCUAACUCCGUGCCAGCAGCCGCGGUAAUAC